AGAGUUUGAUCCUGGCUCAGAAUCAACGCUGGCGGCGUGCCUAACACAUGCAAGUCGAACGCGAAAGUGGAGCAAUCCAUGAGUAGAGUGGCAAACGGGUGAGUAACACGUGGGUGACCUGCCUCCGAGUGGGGGAUAACGUCCCGAAAGGGACGCUAAUACCGCAUAACAUCCCGCCUUUUAACAGGUGGAGAUCAAAGCUGGGGAUCGCAAGACCUAGCGCUUGAAGAGGGGCCCGCGUCUGAUUAGCUAGUUGGUGGGGUAACGGCUCACCAAGGCAACGAUCAGUAUCCGGCCUGAGAGGGCGGACGGACACACUGGGACUGAGACACGGCCCAGACUCCUACGGGAGGCAGCAGUGGGGAAUUGUUCGCAAUGGGCGCAAGCCUGACGACGCAACGCCGCGUGGAGGAUGAAGACCUUCGGGUCGUAANCUCCUUUCGAUCGAGACGAAUGGCCUCCGGGUGAAUAAUCCGGAGGAGUGACGGUACCGAGAGAAGAAGCCCC
rnacentral:rRNA from 1 species